AGCUUUUUUAAUCCGUGCUGAGAUUUCGUCAGACACCAACUCAUCAGGAUUGAUCAGACUUCCAAUAUAAGUGAAGUU
rnacentral:pre_miRNA from 1 species